rnacentral:rRNA from 1 species
CCUACGGGUGGCAGCAGUAGGGAAUAUUGCUCAAUGGGGGAAACCCUGAAGCAGCAACGCCGCGUGGGGGAAGAAGGUUUUCGGAGCGUAAACUCCUUUUGUUAGAGAAGAAAAUGACGGUACCUAACGAAUAAGCACCGGCUAACUCCGUGCCAGCAGCCGCGGUAAUACGGAGGGUGCAAGCGUUAUUCGGAAUGACUGGGCGUAAAGUGGGCGUAGGCGGGACAGCAAGUCAGAUGUGAAAUCCUAUGGCUGAACCAUGGAACUGCAUUUGAAACUGGUGUUCUAGAGUACGGGAGAGGUAGGGGGAAUUCUUGGUGUAGGGGUAAAAUGCGUAGAUAUCAGGAGGAACACU